AAGAGACAUGCAUCGCAAGUUUUGCGAGCACCCACACAAGUUCGUCUGAUUGAAGAAAACCGAAGGCCACCGCGGUAGGCCUGUUUAGAUCGACCAAGGGUCUAUAGCUCAGUUGGUUAGAGCACACGCUUGAUAAGCGUGGGGUCGGUGGUUCAAGUCCACCUAGACCCACCACUGCGAGUUCUAACGGGGCCAUAGCUCAGCUGGGAGAGCGCCUGCUUUGCACGCAGGAG
rnacentral:misc_RNA from 1 species